GACGAACGCUGGCGGCGUGCUUAACACAUGCAAGUCGAACGGAAAGGCCCCUUUGGGGGUACUCGAGUGGCGAACGGGUGAGUGACACGUGAGUAACCUGCCCUUGACUUCGGGAUAACUUCAGGAAACUGGGGCUAAUACCGGAUAGGAAUCCUUGCUGCAUGGUGGGGGUUGGAAAGCUUCGGCGGUUUUGGAUGGACUCGCGGCUUAUCAGCUUGUUGGUGGGGUAGUGGCUUACCAAGGCUUUGACGGGUAGCCGGCCUGGGAGGGCGACCGGCCACAUUGGGACUGAGAUACGGCCCAGACUCCUACGGGAGGCAGCAGUGGGGAAUAUUGCACAAUGGGCGGAAGCCUGAUGCAGCAACGCCGCGUGCGGGAUGACGGCCUUCGGGUUGUAAACCGCUUUCAGCAGGGGCGAAGCUUGUGGUGACGGUACCUGCAGAAGAAGCACCGGCUAACUACGUG
rnacentral:rRNA from 1 species